rnacentral:rRNA from 1 species
AGUGAACGCUGGCGGUAUGCCUAACACAUGCAAGUCGAACGGCAGCACAGUAAGAGCUUGCUCUUACGGAGGGCGAGACGGGGAAGGAAGACGUAUACAUCGGAACCUACUUUUUGGUGGGGGAUAAGGUAGCGAAACUUACGCUAAUACCGCAUACGACCUACGAGUGAAAGCAGGGGAUCUUUGGAGCUUGCGGGAUUGAAUGUGCCGAUGUCGGAUUAGCUAGUUGGAGGGGUAAAGGCCCACCAAGGCGACGAUCCGUAGCUGGUCUGAGAGGAGGAUCAGCCACACUGGAACUGAGACACGGCCCAGACUCCUACGGGAAGCAGCAGUGGGGAAUUUUGGACAAAGGGCGCAAGCCUGAUCCAGCCAUACCGCGUGGGUGAAGAAGGCCUUCGGGUUGUAAAGCCCUUUUGUGGGGAAAGAAAAGCAUGAGGUUAAUACCACGCUGGUCUGACGGUACCGGAAGAAUAAGCACCGGCUAACUACGUG